CCAAUGAUCUACACACAAAAGUAAAUAAAGGACGGCUGUACACCCAGAGGCCUGAAAAGAAACUUUAUAACUAAAACGUACCUCCAGCUGCAUCAAAAGGAACAACAAAACACUCCCAAAUGAAUGUUGAAUGCGAGGAUCUGCCUUUAGCUGUCCAAAAUGGAACAUCAAAACCCUCCGAAACGAAACUUGAAGACGAGGGCGUAUCUCCAACUCUCCCAGAAGGAACAAAAGAACAAUCCCCAGGGAAACUUAAAGACGAUGAUCUACCGGCAGCUGUCCAAAAUGCAACAACGAAUCAUUCACAAAUAAAGAUUGAAGAUGAGGACAUACCUCCAACUGUCCCAAAAGGAUCAAGAAUACACACCAUAAAGAAAAUGGAAGACGACGACGUACAUCCAUCUGUCCUAGAAGGAACAACAAAUCACUUCCAAAUAAAAAU